CUGCAAAUAAUUAGGGUUUGAGAAAACCAACAUACAUUUACCUCUUCUUUGAGAUUGAAUUUCCUUGGUAGUGAAGGGAUAGUAAACUGGGCAUGAUUAACUGCACAUUCAAGAAAGGCCAUAAUAUUAGACCUAAGGGACGAGACAACUGGUGCACAACAUAGGGCAGAUCGGCUCACCCAACAAGUCGAAGUACGAGCAAUUACCUUGUGGAAGAGAUUUUUGCAGCUGUUCUUGAUCAGAAACACAUGAUGCCAACAUAAAAGAAAGACUCAAACAAAAUGCAGCAUUGAUAAUUAACAAACCCAUCACAGAAAUGAUAUAUAGAGCAUUAAAAUGAAAAUUUUUUCACUUUUACUUAUCUUGUGAAGCUUCGAAUUUAUAGCAAUGAAAUGAAGAGAGAAAGGGAAAAGAAACAGAAAGAAAACAUACACAAAGCACAAAAU
rnacentral:lncRNA from 1 species